rnacentral:rRNA from 1 species
CAAAAACAUGUCUUUUUGAAUUAAUUUAAAGUCGGUCCUGCCCAAUGAUAAAUUAAAUGGCCGCAGUAUAUUAACUGUGCAAAGGUAGCAUAAUCAUUAGUUUUUUAAUUGAAAGCUUGUAUGAAUGGAUUGAUGAGAUAUAAGCUUUAUUUUAAUUUUUAAUAGAAUUUUAUUUUUUAGUUAAAAAGCUAAAAUUUUUGUAUAAGACGAGAAGACCCUAUAGAUUUUUAUAUUUAUAAUAUUUUAUUUAUAUAGUUUAGUUAAGAUAUAAUAAUUUAUAAUAUUUUAUUGGGGUGAUAGUAAAAUUUAAUUAACUUUUAUAAUUUUUAUUACAUAAAUUAAUGAAUUUUUGAUCCAUUAUUAAUGAUUAUUAAAUUAAAUUACCUUAGGGAUAACAGCGUAAUUUUUUUAGAGAGUUCUUAUCGAUAAAAAAGAUUGCGACCUCGAUGUUGAAUUAAAACUUAUUUUAGGCGCAGUAGUUUAAUAAUAAAGUCUGUUCGACUUUUAAAUUUUUACAUGAUCUGAGCUC